rnacentral:rRNA from 1 species
UACAGAGGUCUCAAGCGUUGUUCGGAUUCAUUGGGCGUAAAGGGUGUGUAGGUGGCGCCGUAAGUCGGGUGUGAAAUCUCGGAGCUUAACUCCGAAACUGCAUUCGAUACUGCCGUGCUUGAGGACUGGAGAGGAGACUGGAAUUUACGGUGUAGCGGUGAAAUGCGUAGAUAUCGUAAGGAAGACUAGUGGCGAAGGCGGGUCUCUGGACAGUUCCUGACGCUGAGGCACGAAGGCCAGGGGAGCAAACGGG